rnacentral:rRNA from 1 species
GACGAACGCUGGCGGCGUGCCUAAUACAUGCAAGUUGAGCGCUGAAGGUUGGUACUUGUGCCAACUGGAUGAGCAGCGAACGGGUGAGUAACGCGUGGGGAAUCUGCCUUUGAGCGGGGGACAACAUUUGGAAACGAAUGCUAAUACCGCAUAAAAACUUUAAACACAAGUUUUAAGUUUGAAAGAUGCAAUUGCAUCACUCAAAGAUGAUCCCGCGUUGUAUUAGCUAGUUGGUGAGGUAAAGGCUCACCAAGGCGAUGAUACAUAGCCGACCUGAGAGGGUGAUCGGCCACAUUGGGACUGAGACACGGCCCAAACUCCUACGGGAGGCAGCAGUAGGGAAUCUUCGGCAAUGGACGAAAGUCUGACCGAGCAACGCCGCGUGAGUGAAGAAGGUUUUCGGAUCGUAAAACUCUGUUGGUAGAGAAGAACGUUGGUGAGAGUGGAAAGCUCAUCAAGUGACGGUAACUACCCAGAAAGGGACGGCUAACUACGU